rnacentral:lncRNA from 1 species
UCAGGGAGUCUAGAAGAACUGCAUUCUCUUCAAUAGACCGCGCAUCAGUCAUUCUAAAAAGGUUCAAAUUUCUGAGGGUGUUGGAUUUUGAAUUCACUAUCAUUGAUUCUUUCCCACAAGAAUUGAUCCUUUUGAGGUAUAUUUUCUUUUCGGACCGACAAUGAUACACUAUCCCUCCCAGCCAAUCUUUGGAACCUUGAAACUUUGAUAGUUCAAGGAACUAGAGGACGGAUAUCAUUACCAGAAACCAUUUGGAAGAUGGUUAAGUUGCGGCAUCUGCAAAUAAACGACCAAGCAUUGUUCACUUUGCAGAAUGAACAGGAAUUCAUAGAAAGCCCUUCGGAAAUGGAUGAUUUGCAAAGUCUUUCCUCAGCAUAUUUUUCUUGUGCAGGAAGUGCUGAUAAGAUAUUGGCUAAGACACCAAAUCUUCGAAGACUGACAUGUGAAGUUUCUGCAUUUGAUGACUCAUUUACUGCAUUUAACAAUCUUGCAAUGCUCGAAAUUCUCAAGAUUUCUUCUGGUGCUGCAUUGACAUCAGUCGAUAAGCUGAAGCUCCCGUCACACCUCAAGAAAUUGACACUGUCCAAUUUUUACAUAAAUCUAAAUGAAGUCACAACUCUUUCAACUCUCGAGGUACUCAAACUGCUAGGAGUUACCAUUUGUUCCAAUACAUGGAAAGUGAAGGAUGAGCAGUUCAGCAAACUCAAAUUCUUGAAACUAGAAAAUCUAUCUUUUUCAGAAUGGGAUGUCUCAGAUGAUGCUUUUCCAUACCUUGAACACUUGGUAUUGAUAAGAUGUCCAUAUCUUGAGGUGAUCCCUUCUUGCUUCGGAUACAUGUCUUCCCUGAAAUCCAUUGAGGUAAAGUCAUGCAAAGAAUCACUCGCCGACUCUGCAAUGGUCAUCAAGGAAAUGCAAGUUGAAGUCAUGGGAUUUUCUGAUUUUGAGGUCAUAAUCCACAAAAUAGAUCAACAAUGCUCCAACACUCGGUCUGGAAUUACUUAUCAGGUAUGUUGUUGAUCCAAUGCAACUGAAGUUUCAACAUGUUUGUUUUUAUAACUAGCUUGUUAAGUACUCCUUCCGAUUUGAGAAGAAGUCAUGUAAUACAACAAUCAUUUUGUAAAGUAUUUGGAAGCAAGUUUGAAUGAAAUACUUUAAUGAAGAAGUCAUGUAAGUGAGAUAACAGAGAGGAGUAAUAAAAUUAACAUUGAGCAAAAAGAAUCUACCUACUAACCUUCUACCUUAAUCCUCCUCUAGGGUCAUGACCUCUGUAAGCUUUAAACGUGUCAUGUUUUGCUAAUCAACCCUCCUCAAUCGUGCAUCUCCUCUUUACAUAUCUGAAUCAUCUCAAUCUCGCUUAUCUUGUUUUGUAUAUCACGGAGACUACUCCCACUGUGUCCUGAAAUAGCAUCAUUUGUGCUGUGAAGUUAAGAUUUUCUUGAAUGGUUUAAUCUUUGUAUGCAGCUAAUUUACUUAUUUCCUUUACAGAUUGAAGGAUCUUUAUCAGCUGAUGCCGUUGGGAAGACCACGAAACUUAUACAAUCUGAUGUAUUAGUUAAUUGAUUGGUGAUAUUACUUAUGGUAUUCUGCAACUAGUUUAAGUGUACUCUAUACUUUCAAUUAAAAAAAUGGGUAGAACAUAUCAAAAUGUUCUAUUUUUAGAGUAAUGAAAAUAUGGCAGAAUUUACUGUGUCAUUUUUCAUCCAACUAUUCGAUCUACCAUCCUUAAUCCAUUCAGAAACUGUAAAAGUUCACUAACUAAGCCCAAAUGAUAAAGAUAGUUUUGGUUCAUGAUGUUCAGUUAUGAUGUAACUAAAUAAGUAGCUUUCUCUGUUAGCUUAUUAUCAAAUGAUCCAUCAACUAGCAUAUACUUUCAAAUAAAUCUAGUUUCAAAUUAACCAAAUGCCUUGAUACAUUUACAGAAACAGAAGUUUGCUAGUAAUAUUUGGUCUGACUAUGGAACCAAAGGUCUCGAUAACAGUAUAAUUAUAUCGAAUCCUAUAGAGGCAAGACAACUCAUUAAUGAUUUCCUCUAGUUAGAAGUUGUGAAACACCUUUUCAUAUGCUUUGGCAUAAUCGCUUAACCUGUUGUACUGGACCAUAGCAUAGAACUCCACUAGAUGUGAAUUCACUGCAUUAUAUUUUCUUAAGUUUCAUAUUUGAGAGAUUAAAGAAAUAGUUCUCUUUCAUAUUUGAGACUGGAUCUUGAAUAUAUUUGACUUCUUUUGUACUAACUGCAUUAUUAUUUACAAGUAGUUUUUUGUUAACCUACAUCAGCUAUGAAAUGAGACAAGCCAACAAAGAUGCCUUGAAGCAACUAAACAAUUAGAAAUUCACUGAGGACCACAAUCACUUGGUCAAACUUGAAAUGAUAAAAUAAUAUAGAAAUUCAUUGAAGGCCACAAUUAGACGUAACUAUUACUCCCUCUGUUUCAGCUUGUUUGUCUUACUUUUUCUUUUUAUUUUGUUUCAAAAAGAAUGUUAUUUUCCUUCUCUCUCUUUUUUGCAACUCUUUAAUUCUAACUUUUUACAUGACGUGUUUAAUACCACAAGAUAAAAAAACAUUUUAGUACAUUAAAAAUAUCUUUAGUUUAAGAACUUUCUUAAACUUCGAGUCAAGUUAAAAUUGGUAAACAAAUUGAAACUGGUCGAGUAGUUAGAUGACAGAUUGAGACCAAUUAGGUCCAGUUUACAAAAAUAAAGAGAGAGCUCUGAAGACUUGUAGUUUCCCUUGAUUACUUUGCUCAGUUCAACAACAGUUGCUGUUAUCACAUAAUCUGCAGAAAGAAGAGGAGAUAUUUUUUCAUGUCUUUGAACAUAUCACAUCCCCUUAAAACACUAAAGUAUGUCGAAAAGCAAUUGGUGUCUCGAGGCGAUGCUCAUUUCAUCCAAAUUCUGCUGAAAUUCAAAAAAGAAUUCAGUUCACCCUGCAGUACUGUGCUUGUAGAAGAACAUCAGUCACACUUGUACCAUUUCCUAGACACUCUGCAGUGGGUUGAAGAGAAAUGGGGUUCAUUCCGUAUGUUCUCGGACAACAUCCAUCUUCUCGAAACACUGAAUCAGAUUGAAGAUCAAUGGUAUUCAUCCGAUUACGAUAUGUUCUCAGAGGAAUCUGAUGAUAUCCUGACAACUCUCCAGCGUUUUGCACAGGCAAGCAAUUCAUUCAAUAUGUUUUUAGAGGGAUUUCAUUUUUUCAAGGAGUCUCUUCCGCUUGACACACUGCAGUGGAUUGAAGAGAAAGACCUUUUGUUUCCAGCCAAUUGCCUGCCAAUAGUAUCUCAUUUAUGUGAAACUCUGCAGCGGAUGGAAGAUGAAUGCAAUUCAUUCUAUACAUUCUUAGUUGAAUAUCUGUUUUCAGAGGAACUUGAUACCCUUAGCGUUCUGCUGCGUAUUGAAGAGGACUGGGGCUCAUUCCGUAUGUAUUUGGAGGAAUUCAGAUCAAAGGUGUCUGAUUUCGUUGAAACUUCACAGGAAUGUAGAGAGGGAUGUGAUUCAUUCAUUAUACUUUUAGAAACAUAUUUGUUGUCCUCAGAGGAUUAUCUGCUGUUGAUGCAAGAUGAAUGGAGUUCCUUCGAUUUCUUUUCAGAAGAACAUAUGUCUUUGUUUGAUAGACUGAGGCUCCUUAAAAGGGAUUCCAACUUCCUGAGUAUCAUUAUCGAAUUGCAUAUCUUCAAAGAUCAACCAGAUGUCAGCUGGGGAAAAGUUCGAGCAUUGUUCCACGGUGCUGCAGAUGAACUCAUAAAGAUGUACAGUACGGAAGUCAGUCCGUGGAAUCACCAAUUUUAUGACUAUAUCUGCCACUUGCAAUAUGAGUUUCAGCAGACUAAGUUGGAAAUCAUGAGGGCUAAUUUCCCCUUUCCCAAAAUAUCAUGUCAACUUUUAGCCAAUGAGGAUGGUAUUGUGAUUCCCGGUUCUGUAAUGAAAUUCAUUGACAUUGUUGCUGAUAGUCUCAGUAAUUUACUGAAAUUUGACAAUCCAAGUUCACUACUUUGUAUUGGGGGACGAUGCAUGGUUCAAAUAGAAAUGGUUUUGAAGGGGUUGGAUUUCCUCUCUAGUUUUGUCUGCUUUGUUUCAGAUAGAUGCAUAGAGACUCGGGUCCAACAUGCUUUGUUCACUCAUGUUGUACAAGUGGCCUGGCAAACAACUAUGGCUACGUGGUUGUAUCUUCCGAGCAAUGAAUACAUGUAUCAAGACACAGCUCCAAACGGUGAGAAUCCUUUGCUUUCUGAUCUUCUGCAGAGGAAAAUCCAGCUUAUUCAGCCAAGCAUAUGCAAGUUCUAUAUUCAUAUCUUGCAAGCUCUAAAUUUGGUUGAGUCACAAUGGAAUCCCGUUAUCAAUGUUAAGUAUGUAUUCGAUUGUGAAGUUGGUUUUCUGGAGUCUCUUCGACGCACUUUAAAAGGAUUACCAGUCUCUAGUAAUUGCAUUGCAAUAAAGGCAGAACUUCAGGAGACGCUCAACUUCUUCGGAGAUACUCUAGUCAAUCUACCAACACAGGUCAUUGAACUUCAUCUUCAGGAUAUAGACUUUUCAAUUGUUGAUGCAGGACUUCUGGUUUGCUCAUUAAAUGAUGAUAAUGAGAAUCUUGAUUUCACGGGAAAAAUCCAAAGUAUGCAAAGUGUGAUCUACCUCAUCGCUAGAAAGAAAUUCCUCCUCCAGUUCAACUUACCUGGAAUUGACAGAGUGGACUCUGCUAAUUUCGUUUUAGACAACAGGGAGAAGUUUCUGAGCAUGUAUUCAAAUUCAGUUGAUUCGGUUCAAAGCCAACUUCCGAAAAUUCAGAAAGAACUCCAGUUCUUUCAAGCUGUUGUACAACAGCAAGACGGACUUCAACAUUUUGCAACGAAGACUUCUCAUUUGGUGUAUGAGGUAGAACAUAUGGUUGAUACCUGUAAGAAAAAAGAUGUUCCGGACUGGUGUCUUUUUAUCUGGAUCUUGAAUAUUGGAGAGGAUAUAAGAAUGCUCAUGGCAGAAGUAGCAGAGAUAGCAGAGAUUCCUAAUGAGUUACUCUCAUCUCCAAACAAGCUAACUUCAUUUGUGCAGUUAGUUCUCAAGGGAUUUGUUCGGAUCUUUGGUGUUGCUUCUUCACAAUUAGCUAGUAAACAAAGGAUCAAUGAAGAAAUCGUAGGCUUUGAGGAUGUGAAGGAUGAACUGAUAGGAAAACUUAAAGGAGGACCAUCAGGCCUUGAUGUAAUCUCAAUUGUUGGAAUGGCUGGAUUAGGCAAGACAACUCUGGCUAACAAGCUAUAUUCUGAUGAGUCAGUUGUCUCUUAUUUUGACAUACAUGCCCAUUGCUGUGUCUCUCAACAAUAUACGCGGAAGGACUUAUUACUAGCCAUUCUACAUGAUAUUAUUACUGAUGAAAGAGCUAAACUUGGAAGGGAAACUGAAAAUGAAUUGGCAGAUAAACUUCGCAAACUUUUAAUGCGCAAGAGAUACCUUCUCCUCAUUGAUGAUGUUUGGGAAACUAGUGCAUGGGAUGAUCUAAAGUUGUGCUUCCCUGAAGAUAACAACGGAAGUAGAAUUAUUCUGACAACUCGGCAUUAUGAAGUUGCUUCUCAUGCUAAACAUGAUAGUGAUCCCCAUAAGCUUCGAUCUCUCAAUAAUGAUGAAAGUUGGAUGUUAUUAAACAAAAAGGUGUUCAACAACGAAAGUUGUCCUCUUAUCCCAAGAGAUAUAGGACAAGAAAUAGUAAGAAAGUGCGGAGGGCUUCCUCUUUCAAUUAUUCUGGUAGCUGGUAUCCUCACAAGAAUGAAGAAGGACAAACAUUGUUGGGAACAAGUAGCAACAAAUUUAGGUCCAAACAUUCAGGAUCAGAUGGAGGGCACUCUUGAUCUGAGUUAUCAGCAUUUACCACCCUAUUUGAAACCUUGCUUUCUGUAUUUGGGACUAUUCCCAGAGGAUAGAGAGAUUCAAGUCUCAAAGUUAACAUGGUUGUGGAUAGCGGAAGGCUUCAUAAAACCUCAUGCAGGGAAGACACUGGAGGAAAUUGCAGAAAAUCACUUGGAGAAUCUUGUUGGUAGAAACCUUGUGAUGGUUAAAAAAAGGAGUUUUGAUGGAAGGAUCAAGGCAUGUCGCAUUCAUGACCUGGUGCAUGAAUUUUGCAGGAAGAAAGCCAAGUUGGAGAACAUUAUACAAAGGAUAAAUGGGUAAUCAAAACCUCUAAUAUGCCUUUUUCUUUCUAUCUUAUCAUCUUUAAGGCUUCAUCUGAUCAUAUAUAUUUCUCCGUAAACAGGGAUGCAGGUUCGGAUCCUACUCAAUUCUUCCCUCCAAAAUGCAAUACUUCACGUCGCUUAUCUCUUCAUUCUCAGUGUGAUGAUAUUGCAAAAUGGUGUUUGUGUUUCUCCAAUUUGAAAUCUUUCCAGUUCAGGGAGUCCAGAAGAACUGCAUUCUCUUUAAUAGACCACGCAUCAGUCAUUCUUAAGAGGUUCAAGUUUCUGAGGGUGUUAGAUUUUGAAUUCACAGUCAUUGAUUCUUUCCCACAAGAACUGAGCCUUUUGAGGUAUGUUACUUUUCGGACCGACAAUGAUACACUAUCCCUCCCAGCCAAUCUUUGGAACCUUGAAACUUUGAUAGUUCAAGGAACUAGAGGACGGAUAUCAUUACC